rnacentral:rRNA from 1 species
AGUGAACGCUGGCGGUAGGCCUAACACAUGCAAGUCGAACGGCAGCACAGUAAGAGCUUGCUCUUACGGGUGGCGAGUGGCGGACGGGUGAGGAAUACAUCGGAAUCUACUUUUUCGUGGGGGAUAACGUAGGGAAACUUACGCUAAUACCGCAUACGACCUACGGGUGAAAGCAGGGGUUCUUCGGACCUUGCGCGAUUGAAUGAGCCGAUGUCGGAUUAGCUAGUUGGCGGGGUAAAGGCCCACCAAGGCGACGAUCCGUAGCUGGUCUGAGAGGAUGAUCAGCCACACUGGAACUGAGACACGGUCCAGACUCCUACGGGAGGCAGCAGUGGGGAAUAUUGGACAAUGGGCGCAAGCCUGAUCCAGCCAUACCGCGCGGGUGAAGAAGGCCUUCGGGUUGUAAAGCCCUUUUGUUGGGAAAGAAAAGCAGCAGGUUAAUACCCCGCUGUUCUGACGGUACCCAAAGAAUAAGCACCGGCUAACUUCGUG